rnacentral:rRNA from 1 species
AGCAGUCGCCACGGUAAUACGGAGGGUGCAAGCGUUAUCCGGAUUCACUGGGUUUAAAGGGUGCGUAGGUGGGCAGGUAAGUCAGUGGUGAAAUCUUUGGGCUUAACCCGAAAACUGCCGUUGAUACUAUCUGUCUUGAAUGUAGUGGAGGUGAGCGGAAUAUGUCAUGUAGCGGUGAAAUGCUUAGAUAUGACAUAGAACACCCAUUGCGAAGGCAGCUCGCUACACUAUUAUUGACACUGAGGCACGAAAGCGUGGGGAUCAAACAGGAUUAGAUACCCCGGUAGUCCCUGUCUCUUAUAC